CUCGUAGGCGGUUCGACAAGUCGGUCGUGAAAGCCCGGGGCUCAACCCCGGGACGCCGGUCGAAACUGUUGUGACUAGGGUCCGGUAGAGGUGAGUGGAAUUCUCGGUGUAGCGGUGGAAUGCGCAGAUAUCGAGAGGAACACCAGUAGCGAAGGCGGCUCACUGGGCCGGUACCGACGCUGAGGAGCGAAAGCAUGGGGAGCAAACA
rnacentral:rRNA from 1 species